UCUCCGUAGGUGAACCUGCGGAGGGAUCAUUACAAGAACGCCCGGGCUACGGCCUGGUUAUUCAUAACCCUUUGUUGUCCGACUCUGUUGCCUCCGGGGCGACCCUGCCUUCGGGCGGGGGCUCCGGGUGGACACUUCAAACUCUUGCGUAACUUUGCAGUCUGAGUAAACUUAAUUAAUAAAUUAAAACUUUUAACAACGGAUCUCUUGGUUCUGGCAUCGAUGAAGAACGCAGCGAAAUGCGAUAAGUAAUGUGAAUUGCAGAAUUCAGUGAAUCAUCGAAUCUUUGAACGCACAUUGCGCCCCCUGGUAUUCCGGGGGGCAUGCCUGUUCGAGCGUCAUUUCACCACUCAGGCCUCGCUUGGUAUUGGGCAACGCGGUCCGCCGCGUGCCUCAAAUCGUCCGGCUGGGUCUUCUGUCCCCUAAGCGUUGUGGAAACUAUUCGCUAAAGGGUGUUCGGGAGGCUACGCCGUAAAACAACCCCAUUUCUAAGGUUGACCUCGGAUCAGGUAGGGAUACCCGCUGAACUUAAGCA
rnacentral:rRNA from 1 species